GGAAGCACCGGCUAACUCCGUGCCAGCAGCCGCGGUAAUACGGAGGGUGCAAGCGUUGUUCGGAUUUAUUGGGCGUAAAGCGCGUGUAGGCGGUCUUUUAAGUCUGAUGUGAAAGCCCCGGGCUCAACCCGGGAAGUGCAUUGGAAACUGGGAGACUUGAAUACGGGAGAGGGUAGUGGAAUUCCUAGUGUAGGAGUGAAAUCCGUAGAUAUUAGGAGGAACACCGGUGGCGAAGGCGGCUACCUGGACCGAUAUUGACGCUGAGACGCGAAAGCGUGGGGAGCAAACAGGAUUAGAUACCCUGGUAGUCCACGCCGUAAAC
rnacentral:rRNA from 1 species